GACAGAGGCCUCGAGCGUUAUGCGGAAUCACUGGGCUUAAAGCGUGUGUAGGCGGAUCGUUAAGUACCUUGUGAAAUCCCACGGCUCAACCGUGGAACGGCUGGGUAUACUGGCGGUCUUGGGCCAUUCAGGGGCGACUGGAACAAGCGGUGGAGCGGUGAAAUGCGUAGAUAUCGCUUGGAACGCCGAAGGUGAAAACAGGUCGCUGGGGAUGUGCCGACGCUGAGACACGAAAGCCAGGGGAGCAAACGGG
rnacentral:rRNA from 1 species